rnacentral:rRNA from 1 species
UACAGAGGGGGCAAGCGUUGUUCGGAAUUACUGGGCGUAAAGGGCGCGUAGGCGGCCUUCUAAGUCGAACGUGAAAUCCCCGGGCUCAACCCGGGAACUGCGUCCGAUACUGGAAGGCUUGAAUCCGGGAGAGGGAUGUGGAAUUCCAGGUGUAGCGGUGAAAUGCGUAGAUAUCCGGAGGAACACCGAUGGCGAAGGCAGGUCUCUGGGCUGAAACUGACGCUCAUGCACGAAAGCGUGGGGAGCAAACAGG